AGAGUUUGAUCAUGGCUCAGAACGAACGCUGGCGGCAGGCCUAAUACAUGCAAGUCGAGCGGAUGUAGCAAUACAUCAGCGGCGCACGGGAGAAUAACGCGUGGGAACCUUCCUUUUGGUUCGGAAUAACACCGGGAAACUGGUGCUAAUACCGGAUAAGCCCUUCGGGGGAAAGAUUUAUCGCCGAAAGAUGGGCCCGCGUUGGAUUAGCUAGUUGGUGAGGUAACGGCCCACCAAGGCUACGAUCCAUAGCUGGUCUGAGAGGAUGAUCAGCCUCACUGGGACUGAGACACGGCCCAGACUCCUACGGGAGGCAGCAGUAGGGAAUAUUGGACAAUGGGGGCAACCCUGAUCCAGCCAUGCCGCGUGAAUGAUGAAGGCCUUCGGGUUGUAAAGUUCUUUUGCAGGGGACGAUGAUGACGGUACCCUGAGAAUAAGCUCCGGCUAACUUCGUGCCAGCAGCCGCGGUAAUACGAAGGGAGCUAGCGUUGUUCGGAAUUACUGGGCGUAAAGGGCGCGUAGGCGGUUUGGCAAGUUGGAUGUGAAAGCCCUGGGCUCAACCCGGGAAUUGCAUUCAAGACUGCCUUGCUUGAAUUCGGUAGAGGUUGGUAGAAUUCCCAGUGUAGAGGUGAAAUUCGUAGAGAUUGGGAAGAAUACCCGUGGCGAAGGCGGCCAACUGGACCGACAUUGACGCUGAGGCGCGAAAGCGUGGGGAUCAAACAGGAUUAGAUACCCCCGUAGUCC
rnacentral:rRNA from 1 species